UACGUAGGUGGCAAGCGUUGUCCGGAUUUACUGGGCGUAAAGAGCGCGCAGGCGGUCGUUCAAGUCGCGUGUGAAAGCCCCCGGCUCAACUGGGGAGGGUCACGCGAUACUGAUCGACUCGAAGGCAGGAGAGGGUAGUGGAAUUCCCGGUGUAGUGGUGAAAUGCGUAGAUAUUGGGAAGAACACCGGUGGCGAAGGCGGCUCUCUGGACCGAUACUGACGCUGAGGCGCGAAAGCGUGGGGAGCAAACAGG
rnacentral:rRNA from 1 species